rnacentral:tRNA from 1 species
ACUUUUAAAGGAUAGAAGCUAUCCGUUGGUCUUAGGAGCCAAAAAAU